UACGGAGGGGGCUAGCGUUAUUCGGAAUUACUGGGCGUAAAGCGCACGUAGGCGGCUUUGUAAGUCAGAGGUGAAAGCCUGGAGCUCAACUCCAGAACUGCCUUUGAGACUGCAUCGCUUGAAUCCAGGAGAGGUGAGUGGAAUUCCGAGUGUAGAGGUGAAAUUCGUAGAUAUUCGGAAGAACACCAGUGGCGAAGGCGGCUCACUGGACUUGUAUUGACGCUGAGGUGCGAAAGCGUGGGGAGCAAACAGG
rnacentral:rRNA from 1 species